GAGAGUAUAGCUCAGUGGUAGAGCGUGUGCUCAUACGAGGUCCUGGGUUCAAUCCCCAGCACCUUCA
rnacentral:tRNA from 1 species